ACAAGCAGCGGAGCGUGUGGUUUAAUUCGAUGCAACGCGAAGAACCUUACCAAGGCUUGACAUGCCAGAAGUAGGAACUCGAAAGAGAGACCACCUGUAUCCAGUCAGGAACUGGCACAGGUGCUGCAUGGCUGUCGUCAGCUCGUGCCGUGAGGUGUUAGGUUAAGUCCUGCAACGAGCGCAACCCUCGUCGCUAGUUAAAUUUUUCUAGCGAUACUGCCCGUAAAACGAGGAGGAAGGUGGGGAUGACGUCAAGUCAGCAUGGCCCUUACGCCUUGGGCUACACACACGCUACAAUGGGUGAUACAACGGGUUGCGAGAGAGCGAUCUGGAGCUAAUCCCUAAAAUCAUCCUCAGUUCGGAUUGCAGGCUGAAACUGCCUGCAUGAAGUUGGAGUUGCUAGUAACCGCAGGUCAGCACACUGCGGUGAAUACGUUCUCGGGCCUU
rnacentral:rRNA from 1 species